rnacentral:tRNA from 1 species
GGGGUUGUGGCUCAGCGGUACAGCACUCGCCUAGCAUGUGUGAGACCCUGGGUUCCAUCCUCAGCACCACA